rnacentral:rRNA from 1 species
UACAGAGGUCUCAAGCGUUGUUCGGAUUCAUUGGGCGUAAAGGGCGCGUAGGCGGCGCGGUAAGUCACUUGUGAAAUCUCUGAGCUUAACUCAGAACGGCCAAGUGAUACUGCAGUGCUAGAGUGCGGAAGGGGCAAUCGGAAUUCUUGGUGUAGCGGUGAAAUGCGCAGAUAUCAGGAGGAACACCGGUGGCGAAGGCGGAUCUCUGGGCCGAUACUGACGCUGAGGAGCGAAAGCGUGGGGAGCGAACAGG